rnacentral:rRNA from 1 species
UACAGAGGGUGCGAGCGUUGUUCGGAAUUAUUGGGCGUAAAGGGCGCGUAGGCGGUGCGGUAAGUCACCUGUGAAAUCUCCUGGCUCAACUGGGAGCUUGCAGGCGAAACUGCCGUGCUGGAGUGUGGGAGAGGUGCGUGGAAUUCCUGGUGUAGCGGUGAAAUGCGUAGAUAUCAGGAGGAACACCUGUGGCGAAAGCGGCGCACUGGACCACAACUGCGCUGAGGCGCGAAAGCUAGGGGAGCAAACAGG